GACUAAGAGAAGCAGAGAUUGUAUAUAUCCAAGAACAAAUAAAAUAAAGUAAAGGAGAAAGUAACUGCAUUUGGAAAACUAUACUUCAAUGUUUGCCAUCUGGAGAUUCUAAUAGACCCACAUACACCAAAGAUGCCACUGUAGUUGUAGAAGAAUUCAACGACUUGUUUACAACCAUGGGAAUGAAGAUUACCCAAUUAGCUAAAGAUAUAGCAACCUCGUACCCAGGGCUAGCCGCGAAUUGAAGGCGGCGGCGUAGCCCUGGUAAACGCUGGUCACGUGACUCCAACAUUACGUAAUUGUUACUUUUCUCAACCGGGGGGGUGAAUGCUAGGUGAAACUCGAAGACAAACAGUUUUUAUCUCCGCA